GAUGAACGCUAGCGGCAGGCUUAAUACAUGCAAGUCGUGGGGCAGCAGGUCUGUAGCAAUACAGAUGCUGGCGACCGGCAAACGGGUGCGUAACACGUACGCAACCUUCCCGUUACUGGGGAAUAGCCCAGGGAAACUUGGAUUAAUACCCCAUAUUAUAUCGGUCAGGCAUCUGACUGAUAUCAAAGCUUCGGCGGUAACGGAUGGGCGUGCGGUUGAUUAGGUAGUUGGCGGGGUAACGGCCCACCAAGCCGACGAUCAAUAGCUGAUGUGAGAGCACGAUCAGCCACACGGGCACUGAGACACGGGCCCGACUCCUACGGGAGGCAGCAGUAAGGAAUAUUGGGCAAUGGACGCAAGUCUGACCCAGCCAUGCCGCGCGAAGGAUGAAGGUCCUCUGGAUUGUAAACUUCUUUUAUCUGGGGCGAAAACCGGUUAUUCUUAGCCGUUUGACAGUACCAGAGGAAUAAGCACCGGCUAACUCCGUGCCAGCAGCAGCCGCUGUAAAAC
rnacentral:rRNA from 1 species